AAACACCAACAAUUUAAAAGAGGCUACUAAAAUCAUUCCAAUGCGGAUUAAAAUGCAAAUGCAGUUUAGCAAUAUUAGCGGGCUAGCUUUAGAACCAUGUGGACAGCUCUGAGGCAGGCUGUUGAUCGGUAGUAGAGAACAUGUUUUAGGGCGCCUCGGAGCGGGAGGGAAGGCUGCAGUGGACAACGCAACUUUUCUCGCUGAAGAUAGCUAGGUAAUUGCUGUUUGACUUGACAGGAAACUAAACUCGAGUUUCUAUUCCCGGUGCUGAGCUAGUGUGUAGCAGUUAACUGCUGUAUGACAUGUGUUUGUAGAACGUUAAGUCCCCUAUCGACUGAGCCGAAUGAAGCUACAGCAGCCAAGACGAUAAAGGAAAAUAAGCCGCUCAAAGGACAGAACACACUCACUGCGCAUCGGCCGCUGGCAGAUAUUAUUGGUCGACUCAUCCCUCCUCCAGGCGUCUGAGGAGUCGCGCUUGGCACUGACCAGCCCAUCGGUCACCGUGAGGCCCAUCUGGUACACCGUAUAGAUGGCCCCAUCCAGGCAGCGCCACAACAGCAUGGUGGGCUCCAUGGAGCCACAGCUGAACAGAGACAGGGCCUUGGUCUUCACCUCCAGACCCAAGCACUGGGACGUGCCCACGUGGAAGAGACGGUGGCCGGACCCCCACUUCCACUGGGACCCCCUGGAGCCGUCACACUCCCCCAGGGUCACGCUGAACCCAGACCCUCCAGACUUAGCCCCUGCUAUCCCGGAAACUCCAGUCCCAGACGUGGACAUAGCUACCAGGCACUUUCCUGUGCUCACAUGCUGGAUGGUGAAGGUGUCGUCACCUGGAAAUGAUCAUGAACACACAGUUGAAGUCGGAAGUUUACAUACACCUUAGCCAAAUAUAUUAUAUCUCAGUUUAUCACAAUUCCUGACAUUUCAUCUAAGUAAAAAUUCCCUGUCUUAGGUCAGUUAGGAUCACCACUUUAUUUUAAGAAUGUGAAAUGUCAGAAUAAUAGUAGAGAGAAUGAUUUAUUUCAGCUUUUAUUUCUUUCAUCACAUAACCAGUGGGUCAGAAGAUUACAUACAAUCAAUUAGUAUUUGGUAGCAUUGCCUUUAAAUUGUAUAACUUGGGUCAAACGUUUUGGUUAGCCUUCCACAAGCUUGAAUUUUGGCCGAUUCCUCCUGACUGAGCUGGUGUAACUGAGUCAGGUUUGUAGGCCUCCUUGCUCGCACACGCUUUUUCAGUUCUGCCCACAAACUUUCUAUAGGAUUGAGGCCAGGGCUUUGUGAUGGCCACUCCAAUAAUUUUACUUUGUUGUCCUUAAGCCAUUUUGCCACAACUUUAGAAGUAUGCUUGGGGUCAUUGUCCAUUUGGAAGACCCAUUUGCGACCAAGCUUUAACUUCCUGACUGACGUCUUGAGAUGUUGCUUCAAUAUAUCCACAUAAUUUUCCUACCUCAUGAUGCCAUCUAUUUUGUGAAGUGCACCAGACCCUCCUGCAGCAAAGCACCCCCACAACAUGAUGCUGCCACCCCCGUGCUUCACGGUUGGGAUGGUGUUCUUUGGCUUGCAAGCCUCCCCCUUUUUCCUCCAAACAUAAUGAUGGUCAUUAUGACCAAACAGUUCUAUUUUGUUUCAUCAGACCAGAGGACAUUUCUCCAAAAAGUACGAUCUUUGUCCCCAUGUGCAGUUGCAAACCGUAGUCUGGCUUUUUUAUGGCUGUUUUGGAGCAGUGGCUUCUUCCUUGCUGAGCGGCCUUUCAGGUUAUGUCGAUAUAGGACUCGUUUUACUGUGGAUAUAAAUACUGUACCUGUUUCCUCCAGCAUCUUCACAAGGUCCUUUGCUGUUGAUCUGGGAUUGCUUUGCACUUGUCGCACCAAAGUAUGUUCAUCUCAAGGAGACAGAACGCAUCUCCUUCCUGAGCGGUAUUACGGCUGUGUGGUCCCAUGGUGUUUAUACUUGCGUACUAUUGUUUGUACAGAUGAACUGGGUACAUUCAGGCGUUUGGAAAUUGCUCCCAAGGAUAAACCAGACUUGUGGAGGUCUACAAUUUUCUGAGGUCUUGGCUGAUUUAUUUAGAUUUUCCCAUGAUGUCAAGCAAAAAGGCACUGAGUUUGAAGGUAGGCCUUGAAAUACAUCCACAGGUACACCUCCAAUUGACUCAAAUGAUGUCAAUUAGCCUAUCAGAAGCUUAUAAAGCCAUGACAUAAUUUUCUGGAAUUUUCCAAGCUGUUUAAAGGCACAGUCAACUUAGUGUAUGUAAACUUCUGACCCACUGGAAUUGUGAUACAGUGAAUUAUAAGUGAAAUAAUCUGUCUGUAAACAAUUGUUGGAAAAAUUACUUGUGUCACACACAAAGUAGAUGUCCUAACCAACUUGCCAAAACUAUAGUUUGUUAUCAAGAAAUUUGUGGAGUGGUUGAAAAACUAGUUUUAAUGACUCCAACCUAAGUGUAUGUAAACGUCCGACUUCAACUGUAAGUAAAUAUAGUGAUAUUAUAGUCAUAAUAAAGUGUUAGUAAAUAUAGGUACAUCACUACAACAAUAUAAGUUCAUUCAACACAAUA